rnacentral:rRNA from 1 species
UACCAAAAACAUCGCCUUCUGAUACUCAUAGAAGGUCCAGCCUGCCCAGUGACUAAGUUAAACGGCCGCGGUACCCUAACCGUGCAAAGGUAGCGCAAUCACUUGUUCUUUAAAUGAGGACUAGUAUGAACGGCAUCACGAGGGUUACACUGUCUCCCUAUUCCAUUCAGUGAAACUGAUCUUCCCGUGAAGAAGCGGGAAUAUAAAUAUAAGACGAGAAGACCCCAUGGAGCUUUAAACUCAGUGUUAUCUGCCACUUCAAUACCCUCUUAAUUACGCAGACCAUGAUAACUAGUUUUCGGUUGGGGUGACCGCGGAGUAAAACAAAACCUCCACAACGAAAGGAACUAACAACCUAAUCCAAGAGCAACAUCUCUAAGAAUCAACAAAUUGACUUAAUUGAUCCAAUUACUUGAUCAACGAACCAAGUUACCCUGGGGAUAACAGCGCAAUCCAUUUCAAGAGCUCAUAUCGACAAAUGGGUUUACGACCUCGAUGUUGGAUCAGGGUAUCCCAGUGGCGCAGCAGCUACUAACGG